AUAAAUAACUUAGACAGUAGUUAUGGUUCAGUCGUUUAUUUUAUUUGGAUUCACACGGUUUUAUGAAUGUAAUAAAGUUUACGGAGUUUUAUGAGUUAAAAAUGGUUUUCUACCCCUCGUGGUAACGUUUUGAAAAAGAAAAAAAAUUUUCGUGUGGAAAACGGAUUUAAAAAGAUUUUUUUGGUUUUCAUAACUUAGUAUUUCAAAUUGAGUUUCCGGGUAGGAAAUAUUUUAAACUAAUAGAUGUGGAUAUGUGACUAUUUGUGAUGAAAUGGAUGUGAAUGUGAUGUGGUAUAUGUAUGUGGAUAUUCAUAUGUAUGUGGUUGUUUCUUGUACUUGUGCGACGUUGUGCAAAUACAGAGGAGACUCUAUCCAUGUGAAUAGUGGAUUUCCUGUAUUUGUGGUGGAUUGACAUACUCUGGGGUCAAAGUUUUCAAAAAAAAAAAAAAAUUUUGAGCACUUCCGCAUUAGAUAUUUAAAUCCAAAGGGACCCCGGGGCGUGACAAAAUCCUUUCUCUUCGCCCCCGCUACCACAAUAGGCCAUCCGAUAAUUGAGUCUCUACCUCUUCCUCUCCCUCUUCUCUGCCAUUGCAAACUAUUUCUUUUCUUCAUUGGCUGCCGCCACCACCAUUUCUAGCCAUCUUUCCAUUGGCUCCCCCUCUCCCUCUCUAUUUUCCACUACUGUAAAUGAUUCCUCUUCCUCUUCCUCCUCCGCUGGCAUUAUUGCUACUAUAAGGCAUCUCCUCAUAAAUUCCCUCUCUCCUUCUCUUUCUUCUCCACCGUCACUACAUUUGCUAAUGCCGCUACCGUAGGCUAUCCCUGAUAGUUUCCUCACUCCAUCUCUCUCUCUCUUCCUCUCCCAUUUCCUUCAUUGACUUCUUCUCUUUUCUAAAAAUUGACCAUCCAUUAGUCAACCCCUCUAACUCCCUCUACUGUACUUACU
rnacentral:lncRNA from 1 species